GAUGAAGAACGCAGCGAAAUGCGAUAAGUAAUGUGAAUUGCAGAAUUCAGUGAAUCAUCGAAUCUUUGAACGCACAUUGCGCCCGCCAGUAUUCUGGCGGGCAUGCCUGUUCGAGCGUCAUUUCAACCAUCAAGCCCCCGGCUUGUGUUGGGGACCUGCGGCUGCCGCAGGCCCUGAAAACCAGUGGCGGGCUCGCUAGUCACUCCGAGCGUAGUAAUACAUCUCGCUCAGGGCGUGCUGCGGGUUCCGGCCGUUAAAAGCCUUAUUUACCCAAGGUUGACCUCGGAUCAGGUAGGAAGACCCGCUGAACUUAAGCAUAUCAAUAAGCGGAGGA
rnacentral:misc_RNA from 1 species